CCAGCCGCCGCGGUAAUACGGAGGAUGCAAGCGUUAUCCGGAAUGAUUGGGCGUAAAGAGUCCGUAGGUGGUGAUUCAAGUUGAUUGUUAAAGAGCGGGGCUUAACCUCGUAGAAGCAGUGGAAACUGAAUCACUAGAGAGAGGUAGGGGUAGAGGGAAUUCCCGGUGUAGCGGUGAAAUGCGUAGAGAUCGGGAAGAACACCAGUGGCGAAAGCGCUCUACUGGGCCUCAUCUGACACUGAGGGACGAAAGCUAGGGGAGCGAAAGGGAUUAGAUACCCCUGUAGUCCUAGCCGUAAACGAUGGAUACUAGGUGUUGUCUGUAUCGACCCGGACAGUGCCGUAGCUAACGCGUUAAGUAUCCCGCCUGGGGAGUACGCACGCAAGUGUGAAACUCAAAGGAAUUGACGGGGGCCCGCACAAGCGGUGGAGUAUGUGGUUUAAUUCGAUGCAACGCGAACAACCUUACCAGGGCUUGACAUGUCUGGAAUCUUGGUGAAAGCCGAGAGUGCCUUAGGGAGCCAGAACACAGGUGGUGCAUGGCUGUCGUCUGCUCGUGUCGUGAGAUGUUGGGUUAAGUCCCGCAACGAGCGCAACCCUCGUCCUAAGUUGCCAGCAUUAAGUUGGGCACUCUGAGGAGACUGCCGGUGACAAACCGGAGGAAGGUGGGGAUGACGUCAAGUCAGCAUGCCCCUUACGUCCUGGGCUACACACGUACUACAAUGCUACGGACAAAGGGCAGCCAACCAGCGAUGGUGAGCAAAUCCCAUAAACCGUGGCUCAGUUCAGAUUGCAGGCUGCAACCCGCCUGCAUGAAGGUGGAAUCGCUAGUAAUCGCCGGUCAGCAUACGGCGGUGAAUUCGUUCCCGGGCCUUGUACACACCGCCCGUCACACCAUGGGAGCUGGUCAUGCCCGAAGUCGUUACCCUAACCCGUAAGGGAGGGGGAUGCCGAAGGCAGGGCUGGUGACUGGGGUGAAGUCGUAACAAGGUAACCAAG
rnacentral:rRNA from 1 species